rnacentral:rRNA from 1 species
UACGUAGGGUGCGAGCGUUAAUCGGAAUUACUGGGCGUAAAGCGUGCGCAGGCGGUUUUGUAAGCCGGAUGUGAAAUCCCCGGGCUUAACCUGGGAAUGGCAUUCGGGACUGCAAGGCUGGAGUGCGGCAGAGGAGACUGGAACUCCUGGUGUAGCAGUGAAAUGCGUAGAUAUCAGGAGGAACACCGAUGGCGAAGGCAGGUCUCUGGGCUGACACUGACGCUGAGGUGCGAAAGCGUGGGGAGCAAACGGG